rnacentral:rRNA from 1 species
GACGAACGCUGGCGGCGUGCUUAACACAUGCAAGUCGUACGGUAAGGCCCUUUCGGGGGUACACGAGUGGCGAACGGGUGAGUAACACGUGAGUAACCUGCCCACAACUUUGGGAUAACGCUAGGAAACUGGUGCUAAUACUGGAUAUGUGCUCCUGCUGCAUGGUGGGGGUUGAAAGCUCCGGCGGUUGUGGAUGGACUCGCGGCCUAUCAGCUUGUUGGUGGGGUAGUGGCCUACCAAGGCGGCGACGGGUAGCCGGCCUGAGAGGGUGACCGGCCACAUUGGGACUGAGAUACGGCCCAGACUCCUACGGGAGGCAGCAGUGGGGAAUAUUGCACAAUGGGCGCAAGCCUGAUGCAGCAACGCCGCGUGCGGGAUGACGGCCUUCGGGUUGUAAACCGCUUUCAGCAGGGACGAAGCUUUUUGUGACGGUACCUGCAGAAGAAGCACCGGCUAACUACGUG